rnacentral:lncRNA from 1 species
ACCACUCCUUACAAAUUAUCUUUUAAUUACUCUAUUCUUAUCAUAGUGAGCACAUAUAUGUAAAAAUAUGGCAACCAUCUCCUCAACAUAUAUAUUUUUAGUACUCGACAAUCUCCCAAUAGUUUAUAAUAUAUCACACAAUGCAUGAAAACUCUUUUUAUCCAUGCAUGUAUUUUCUAUGCAUGCCACCUCAGAAUCAAAUACAAUCUUCCUUAAACUAAU